UUUUAUAUUAAUUUUGUAACCACCUUUUUGAGACUUCUGCACCAGGUAUGAACAAGUUACUACUUUGAGUGUAUUUAUUAAGGCCUCUUAUAUAGACUGUUUAUGGUUUCAUUUUUCUAGAUGCUAUGUUUCAAAAGUAAUAAUAUAUUUUUUGCAAGUGUUUCAAAGGGUGUGGUUUAAUUUUUAGUGAGAACUGAGUAGUGAAAGAAUAGUUUAUUUACCAAGAAACACAAGCAGGAUUUCAGUGGCAUUGAUGAGACAUUGUUACAUGAUUGUAAAGCUUUAUAUUUAUGCUACCACAGAGAACUAUCAAGAUAGAGAUGAUGUACAUUACAGUAUGUACUGUAUGGUGAUACAUUAAAAUUUGUUGAAGGACUCAUAAUAAUAAUCAAUCUAUUGGGUCACUGAAGAAUAGAAUAAUCAUCAACAGUUAUAAUGAUAAUAAUUUAAAUAAUAACUUUUUAGUACUUAGCACAGUGCAUUCUUUCUUGUAAUAGUAGAUCUUCACUUUUUAGAACUAGAAUAUCGAUUGCAACUCUUA